AUAAUACUUCCUCCAUCAGGAAAUACUUGUCAGAGGAAUGGAUGUAUCUAGACGUAUUUUAGUUCUAGAUACAUCCAUUUUUAAGCAUUUUUGCGACAAGUAUUUCCGGACGGGACGAAGGGAGUAUAUA
rfam:Triticum aestivum genome assembly, contig: Triticum_aestivum_CS42_TGACv1_scaffold_321364_4BL